AGGAAGGGCUGCAUUGCCUUUUGGAGAUCACAAUUACCAUGCUAAUAUUCAGUACUGGUGAAUCACUGAGGCCAGAUGUUCUGGCUAUACAGGGACAUCGGCUUAAAGGGUGUCGCCCUCCCUUGAACCUGUCUAUGUAGGUCUCACGCUCUGGGAAGGGGGCUCCUGUUUUAACCUCAGCUAUACUGCCACCCUUGGGGUCAAGGGGGCAGGCAGCCCCAGCCUGGUUCACCUGGUGCCUCUUCCUUGGCCACAGGCCUCUGCCAGAACCAGUCCUUCAGGAGGAGAGUGCCGGCUGGACCACUCCCUUCCCACCUCCCAUCUUGCUGACUUCAAAACAGUGUCUCAGGAUCUCAAGAGUUCAAGGAGAUCCUAUGAGCAGGCAACCGUGGGGUGGAGAGGGGCCUUCCUCCAGAGCCCAGUGACCUCAGGCCCAGACAGAUGGCCUCAGCCCAGCCGCACCUGUGAACACCACAGAUGUAAGGAAGUGUCCAGCAGGGGCACAGUGGGCCCAUCUGACCUUCAAGGCCUGCCUGGGGAAAUCCAUUCUUUUAAUAAAAUUAACAA